UAGGGAAUCUUCCGCAAUGGGCGAAAGCCUGACGGAGCAACGCCGCGUGAGUGAUGAAGGUCUUCGGAUCGUAAAACUCUGUUAUUAGGGAAGAACAUACGUGUAAGUAACUGUGCACGUCUUGACGGUACCUAAUCAGAAAGCCACGGCUAACUACGUGCCAGCAGCCGCGGUAAUACGUAGGUGGCAAGCGUUAUCCGGAAUUAUUGGGCGCAAAGCGCGCGUAGGCGGUUUUUUAAGUCUGAUGUGAAAGCCCACGGCUCAACCGUGGAGGGUCAUUGGAAACUGGAAAACUUGAGUGCAGAAGAGGAAAGUGGAAUUCCAUGUGUAGCGGUGAAAUGCGCAGAGAUAUGGAGGAACACCAGUGGCGAAGGCGACUUUCUGGUCUGUAACUGACGCUGAUGUGCGAAAGCGUGGGGAUCAAACAGGAUUAGAUACCCUGGUAGUCCACGCCGUAAACGAUGAGUGCUAAGUGUUAGGGGGUUUCCGCCCCUUAGUGCUGCAGCUAACGCAUUAAGCACUCCGCCUGGGGAGUACGACCGCAAGGUUG
rnacentral:rRNA from 1 species